GACGAACGCUGGCGGCGUGCUUAACACAUGCAAGUCGAACGAUGAACCCGGAGCUUGCUCCGGUGGAUUAGUGGCGAACGGGUGAGUAACACGUGAGUAACCUGCCCUUGGCUCUGGGAUAACUGCGGGAAACUGUAGCUAAUACCGGAUACGACCCUCGGCGGCAUCGCCAGGGGGUGGAAAGAAUUUCGGUCAAGGAUGGACUCGCGGCCUAUCAGCUAGUUGGUGAGGUAACGGCUCACCAAGGCGACGAAGGGUAGCCGGCCUGAGAGGGUGACCGGCCACACUGGGACUGAGACACGGCCCAGACUCCUACGGGAGGCAGCAGUGGGGAAUAUUGCACAAUGGGCGCAAGCCUGAUGCAGCAACGCCGCGUGAGGGAUGACGGCCUUCGGGUUGUAAACCUCUUUUAGUAGGGAAGAAGCGAAAGUGACGGUACCUGCAGAAAAAGCACCGGCUAACUACGUGCCGGCCGCCGCCGUAA
rnacentral:rRNA from 1 species